UACGAAGGGGGCUAGCGUUGUUCGGAAUUACUGGGCGUAAAGCGUGCGCAGGCGGCUCAUCAAGUCAGAGGUGAAAGCCCAGGGCUCAACCCUGGAACUGCCUUUGAAACUGUUGGGCUUGAGUACGGGAGAGGUGAGUGGAAUUCCGAGUGUAGAGGUGAAAUUCGUAGAUAUUCGGAAGAACACCAGUGGCGAAGGCGGCUCACUGGACCGUAACUGACGCUCAUGCACGAUAGCGUGGGGAGCAAACAGG
rnacentral:rRNA from 1 species